rnacentral:sRNA from 1 species
GUAGGAAUUUUACCAUUUCUUGGCUAUAAGACAUUUUCUGAAAGCUUCCUGAAUUGCUUUACCUAAGCUACAAUGCCUUCAGCUAAAUGUUAAUUUUGACAAAGGCAUUUUUGUAAAGCAUUGAUAUGACUGCUUUUUUUUCCUUCCUUUUAUUUUAGAUAAAAGAAGUAAGGCUUUGAAAGCUUCAGCGCCUGCUCCUGGUCAUCACUAACCAGAUUUACUUGGAGUACAUGUGAAAGAAAACGUCAGUCUGCCUGUAAAUUUCAGCAAGCCGUGUUAGAUGGGGAGCGUGGAACGUCACUGUACGCUUGUAUAAGUACCGUUUACUUCAUGGCAUGAAUAAAUGGAUCUGUGAGGUGCA